rnacentral:rRNA from 1 species
GAUGAACGCUGGCGGCGUGCCUAAUACAUGCAAGCCGAGCGAACAGACGAGGAGCUUGCUCCUCUGACGUUAGCGGCGGACGGGUGAGUAACACGUGGAUAACCUACCUAUAAGACUGGGAUAACUUCGGGAAACCGGAGCUAAUACCGGAUAAUAUAUUGAACCGCAUGGUUCAAUAGUGAAAGACGGUUUUGCUGUCACUUAUAGAUGGAUCCGCGCCGCAUUAGCUAGUUGGUAAGGUAACGGCUUACCAAGGCAACGAUGCGUAGCCGACCUGAGAGGGUGAUCGGCCACACUGGAACUGAGACACGGUCCAGACUCCUACGGGAGGCAGCAGUAGGGAAUCUUCCGCAAAGGGCGAAAGCUUGACGGAGCAACGCCGCGUGAGUGAUGAAGGUCUUCGGAUCGUAAAACUCUGUUAUUAGGGAAGAACAAAUGUGUAAGUAACUAUGCACGUCUUGACGGUACCUAAUCAGAAAGCCACGGCUAACUACGUG